AAAGUAUACAACAUAUUGUUGAGAAUUUCCUUUUUUCCAAUAAUUCUUCUCUUCCUCCAUAACUUUUUGAAGCCAUGAAUUACAAAGGAUUCAUUUUGAUAUUUUUUGUAUUAAUUUUUUGUGUAUCCUCAACAACAUCCUCUCGAAGAUUAUUAGAAGGUGGGAGAGGCAGUAAAAUGGAAACACAACUUCAUCACCCUAAACGAGCUCAUCAAUCUGAUAGAGAUCCUCAUCGCCCUGAAACACCUCCUCAGCAACUGAUCAACAACCAUCACCUGGACGAAGACCACCAAUAGCAUCCCCUUUUGUAGCAAGACAGCACUACAAAUAUGGUGAUAGAUGUAAACGCAGCAUUACACCCUAAAUUGAAAUUAUAGCAGUAGAGCAAGUAGAGUCGGAGUUAUAAUUUGUAAUUUAUAAAUUCUAAAUUUAUCAUCAAAUUCAUAGCUCGUUUUAGUUAUUAGAUUCACGAUAUAUAAAUUGUAAGCAACAAACUUCUUUUUUCCAAGCAAGGAAAAGAGUUUUGAAGAUUUUGUAUAAAUAAUGAUGAUGUUUAUUGUUGACACCCAAUUUUGACCCU